rnacentral:ncRNA from 2 species
UCUGUAUCAUCAGACUCGUCUAUUUCUGAAAAAUCGGAUUCAUCAAAUGAAUCUUCAACCAACAACUAUUCGAGAAUGAUGUUAACAUCACGCGUAGGCAUGCUAUGUUUUCUAGGAUUUGACGUCUUCAGCGAUCAAGAAUUACUGUAUUUUGUAAAUGGAAAUACCACUACUAAAAACAGAAUGCUAUAAAUAGAAUGAUGUCUUGUUUCCAAAGUUGAUAUACUAGAGCAAUGUGAAAAUGAUAAAAGCGAGAUAUUUUGUGGCAACGAUUUAAAAAGAUGUUCAGUAGUAAAACAAAAGUACAAGAAUAAAGUGACAAGCAAUUCUA